rnacentral:lncRNA from 7 species
GGGUGAUGAAGGGAAAGAAGAUUCUAAGAGAAUAACUGCACAAUAGCUGCACUGAAACAAAAUGCAGACUUUAAUGGGGGAUCAACUUAAAGACCAUGCAGGGCUGUUGUGCUUAUACUAACUGCAGUAUAGGAAUAAAUCAAACAGAUUUUCUUGGUGGUGCUGGGAUGUCAGUACGUGUUUUUGCUCCGAACUCCACAUAUCCUGCGAAAGUGCCUGGCCUGGCCCCAUUGUGCAGCUGUGUUCUGAGAGAGCCCAGAGGCCCCUGGUUUCUUGGAAGUGAGGGAGUGCAGCACUGAGAAGCAACGGGAAGAUGUCCUACACAUGGAGCGAUAGGCAGAUGCAGCUGCUCUAGGAUCCUCUGGUCAUCUGUUUUCAUUAAAACUUCACUUGUGCAUUUGACCUACCAGCUGGAUUCAGCAUAUGUCACUGGUAAAGCCAUAACAUCCCAGUGAAGUGCAAGUGGAAAGAGGGAAGUGAGCUGCAGAAGAGAUGAGACUCAUGAUCUGCAGUUGUUUGAUGCAGAGAUUGAACAUUGAAAAUCACGAACAACAUUUACAUGAAACACUAGCUGCCACUAGCUUCACAUUCAUCUGUCAGAUCAGUCUUUGCAACUUCUAAGUGACGGAUGAAGGAAAUCCUUAUUGCUUGAAGCAGCUCUACCUAUUUAUAUGAACCUGCCACGUGGUUUCCUAAAAUAUGAACUGACAAGGCCAUUCGUCUCUGAAAUGCUGCUGAAGAUGGUUUCAGAACUGGAGUGAUGAAGCCUGGUCGUAAUAGCUGCUGUCUCUUUCUUGUUGCCUCGUGUGCCAAGGUGUCCCAAAGCACAGCUGUGAAACAAAGUACCGUGGAAUAUUCCUUGAGAAUUCUACCCAGAUGUGAAAAGAAUAAGUGCAUUUUUUAAAACAGAUUUUAAGUUAAGCUGUUCAGCCUGAAAAUGUCAAAUAUGAAGAAGUGAUACUUUUGCUUAAUGUAAAACUGAAUCACUUCUUUAAUACGUAUAGCAUCUGAGUGAUUUAGUUAAGCUAUAUUAAAUUACAAUUCUGUUCUUGUUUUCUUGAUUAUAUUCAGAAUUACAAACUUCAGAUCUAUUGUUGUUAAAUAGGGAUAUUUUUCACUGUUCAGGUAUGAAUAUUUAAACAGUGCUAAAUUUCGAGGUAUACAGAUGAGCUAAUUUGAAAUUUUAAAUGAAUUAAAAGUUCAAUUUCUGAAAUGAUUUGUAAAGUCUUGCUUGAUUCUUGAGUGCUUCCAGGUGCUUCAAUAAAACCUGGU